rnacentral:rRNA from 1 species
UACGUAGGUGGCAAGCGUUGUCCGGAAUUACUGGGCGUAAAGCGUGCGCAGGCGGUUCGUUGUGUCGGUGGUGAAAGCCCCGGGCUCAACCUGGGAAUGGCCAUGGAAACUGGCGAACUGGAGUGUGGCAGAGGGGGGUGGAAUUCCGCGUGUAGCAGUGAAAUGCGUAGAGAUGCGGAGGAACACCGAUGGCGAAGGCAGCCCCCUGGGCUAGCACUGACGCUCAGGCACGAAAGCGUGGGGAGCAAACAGG